ACUACAAACAUGCGAAGAAGAAAAAAUGUCAAGCGCGAAGCAGCAGAGUCCGACAGGUCAUAUUAUCGAGAAGUCACGUACACCUGCUUAAUCACUGGUUGCCAUGUUGGAGCGUCCAUCUCUGCACCAACAUCUGAAACAUCCUGAUAGAAAACACCAUCCGUAAUGAGCUGAAGCAACAACUUUAUUUCUGCCAAACAUUAUUUUUUACAUCAAAUUAAAAAACAAAUAAAGACACUAAAGAACAGAUGAAAAAACCCAAAGAUUCCCAGUUUUUUCACCUCAUUCCCACAUUUUCAAUCAAACUGUUGCAGAACCUUAAACCAUAACGACAUUUUAAUGUUAAAUGCAUUCAUUGGUUCUGCAGCAACUCAACACACCAAUCUUGUUUGAUGGUUUACACCUGAAGACCGACCCAAAAAGCCCAAAUCAAUCUAGAAAACAUUCCAGAAUAAUUUUUCCCCCAAGUUGCUGCAACUCAAAUUCAAACUGUCCACGUUUAAAAUGUCCUCUGCUUCCUUUUUUUGCUUCACUUUAUUUGAUGGAUCUUUGCAGUUUCUUUGUUUUUACACUUCCAGGCCACCGUACCCUGAACAUACCGAACCCCACACCGGAUCACGGUCCGGACCGGCUUCCUGGAAAAACAACAAGCUUUAGGCCCGACAACCGAAGCAUUUUUUUUGGGAAGUUCUCUUGGAAUUUUACAGUAAAUUUAAAAAACAAUCAUGAUGAAAAUAAAUAAAUUACAUUUUUGUAAAACACUCCUUUGAUAAAAUACUAACAGUUCAGCUGAAUACAUUGGA